rnacentral:lncRNA from 1 species
GAGGAGCUGAGCUGUGGGUUCCCGCCAUUCCGCCCGCGCGUGGUGGGCGGGGCGUGCGCUGUCCCCUGGUAGGGGUGCUGGCGCGCGGGUGAAGCGGCUCCACAGACCAGCGCGGAUCGGGCGGGAGGCCCGUGGCCCCGGAGCUGCCGCAGCCGCAGCCUCAAGAGAAUCCUGUGGUCAAGACGUUUGGCCUGGGACAAGAACCUGAGGGCAUCUGACAAGGUGGGGUCCUUCUCCCCUGAGCUGGACCCUCAGUGCAGCACAGCCUGGUGGGGGCAGGGUUCCAGUUCCACAGUCCUCCUUCAGGCCCUGUCUAUGUGAGGCCCUCCCAUCUGAUCUGCCAUCUUAGAAUACAGCACCA